GACGAACGCUGGCGGCGUGCUUAACACAUGCAAGUCGAACGCUGAAGCCCAGCUUGCUGGGUGGAUGAGUGGCGAACGGGUGAGUAACACGUGAGUAACCUGCCCCCUUCUUUGGGAUAACGCCCGGAAACGGGUGCUAAUACUGGAUAUUCACUGGCCUUCGCAUGGGGGUUGGUGGAAAGGUUUUUUCUGGUGGGGGAUGGGCUCGCGGCCUAUCAGCUUGUUGGUGGGGUGAUGGCCUACCAAGGCUUUGACGGGUAGCCGGCCUGAGAGGGUGACCGGUCACAUUGGGACUGAGAUACGGCCCAGACUCCUACGGGAGGCAGCAGUGGGGAAUAUUGCACAAUGGGCGAAAGCCUGAUGCAGCGACGCCGCGUGAGGGAUGACGGCCUUCGGGUUGUAAACCUCUUUCGCUCAUGGUCAAGCCGCAGCUUUGGGUUGUGGUGAGGGUAGUGGGUAAAGAAGCGCCGGCUAACUACGUGCCAGCAGCCGCGGUAAUACGUAGGGCGCGAGCGUUGUCCGAAAUUAUUGGGCGUAAAGGGCUUGUAGGCGGUUGGUCGCGUCUGCCGUGAAAUCCUCUGGCUUAACUGGGGGCGUGCGGUGGGUACGGGCUGACUUGAGUGCGGUAGGGGAGACUGGAACUCCUGGUGUAGCGGUGGAAUGCGCAGAUAUCAGGAAGAACACCGGUGGCGAAGGCGGGUCUCUGGGCCGUUACUGACGCUGAGAAGCGAAAGCGUGGGGAGCGAACAGG
rnacentral:rRNA from 1 species